GCCAGCAUGGUGUAGUGGUUUGAGUAUUGGACUAGGAUUCUGGAGACCAGGGUUUGAAUCCCUGUUUUGCCA